UCUCAGGAGAACAACUCUCUCUUUUGUCUUCCCUUCUCAUUAAUCCCUACUUCUUCAACUCAAGCUCUCAAGUGGAUCAUUAUAAACAGACAAUGGCCAGAUAUGUGCGUGUGGAUAUAAACUAAUGAAUUUAUGAAGGGGAAAAUCAUGCCUGACAAAACUGACAGCUGUAUAUGGUAGAAAAAUGCCUCUAGCAGAAGACAAUUUUGCUGUACUCCUAAAUCAAAACAAAAUGGGAAACACAUUGCUGCUUGUGUCAGUGUCUAACAAAACACGAUAUCUUCAGUUUUAAUGAAGAUUAAGUGUGACAAAGCUACAUGGAGUAAUGGAAGUACCAAAAAGAAAUUGCUUUUUGAAAAUGAAAAGCUUUUUAAAAAGUCACAAUAGAACCGAGAGAGCCGUGAAUGCAUUUUCUACGCUAACAUUUUGGCAUUACUCUAUGGAGCCUUCUGCUAUCAGCAGGGAAAGAAAAAUUGCAGUUGACAUCUACACCUGGCAUUUGUCUCCAUUAAUGCUUAGUGCAGGGAGCAGGGGCUGCAUUUGCUUGGCUUUGUCUCCACCUGUCAGAUACUUUGCUCUCCAGGAGAAAAGAGAUCAGGGAGAAACCAAGCAGAUUUCAGAUUUCCUAGUGUGAAUCAGUUUUCUUAUGAAAGCUGGAGGCAAGGGUGAAAUCUGCAUCCUUAGGGAAGAAAAAAACCCACAACAUUAUGGCCUUGUUUGUCACAUAUUGUUUGGGUCUGCUCUUCUAUAAGCUUGUCUGUCUCUGGCACAAAAUUCUUCUGCCUGGCUUUUUAUUCCAGGAGGUAGGAAACAAUUUUCAAAUUUGGUGGAUCUUUCAAGGAUUAAAGAUAACAUGAAAAUCCUGUGGCAUAGAUGUGCUUUGAAAUGGAGAACAUAUCCCCAUGUCACUGCUGAAGAAAGUAAAACAUGGCUGAAAGCCACAGAGUAAUUCUAUUAGUUUCCAGAAAAGCCGCUCCUUGGAGGAGAUAUAAUGAAGCCAUAAAGCUGAAAGGUGGCCCCUUUUGAGUGUUGUUUCACACUCACAGGAACAGUCCUGUGGACUGCUGGCAGUGAGCCUCUUGUCAACACAGUAAGUUGGAGACUCUACAUUACCUUCCAACCCAGAGCUGCUUGAUCACAAGCUUAGGGACCAUCCAUGGCUUGAUUAGGCUCAGGAGUUUUGUUCUGAAAUCUGGUCUUCUUUCUUUCACUGAAAUAUGUGUAAUUGAAGAACACAGAGUAAGGGUAUUACCCCAGCUAGCUUUUAAACACUUUCAUGUGAGAGGUUAUUCAUAUAAUUGUCUUGGCAUGCUAAGUGUGCAGACUAUAUGUCUAUUUACUGUAGUUCCCAGGAGUACUUCUCAGCUUCUCUCUUUGGAUGCACACUACUGCAGAAACCCACCUCAGCAGUUCUGGGGCAAUCGUCCCCACCAUCAUCUGUCAGAACCCUUGGCCCAAUCUUUCAAAGGGUAUGAUCUGGUCCCCAUCUGUGGCUGAAACGUGGCUGUCCAACAAAAGAUGAUAGUUUACUUUUACAGCAGGGUCAGUUAAAAUAUCUUUGAAAUAAAAGAUAGAAUGCAGUAAAAGAAAUAAUAAGUCUGUCCCAACACUGUUACUAAGUAGGAAGGCAAGAGUUGUUAUAGCAACAGAUGGAGGUAUUUUAUAACAAGUGCAAACACCUGAACCUUGGAAAGCUAAUGUAACUGUGAGAAGGACUAAAUGGUACCUUUCAGGCUUUUGUCUGCCUGCUGUGCUUACAUUUCAAGCUGACCAAAGCUGAGUGCUGUAUUACUAUAGUCACAGUCCCAACUUUGUUGAGGAGCCAAGCAUCUAUCAGCCCAGCCCAGGACUGCUUUAAUCAGGCCACAUGCCUCUUGGAGUUUUUCACGCAACAUUUGGGUUACAUGUUGACCAAGCCUGCAUCUGCCCACAAAGCGUUGUGCAGGCGUACUGUGGCUCAGUUUUCUUUUGGCAAAUAGUUCCCUGAAAUCUUGCUGUCAGUAGCAGAGCUCUAAGGAUCAAACUGAUCUGAAGCAGAGUGGCAGCUGUUA